rnacentral:rRNA from 1 species
AGAGUUUGAUCAUGGCUCAGGACGAACGCUGGCGGCGUGCUUAAUACAUGCAAGUCGAGCGACGAAAGGAGAGGGGGUAACCCCUCUCCCUGAAAGCGGCGAACGGGUGAGUAACACGUGGGUAACGUGCCCCAGACUUCGGGAUAACAACGGGAAACCGUUGCUAAUACCGGAUAACCCCUGCGUCCCGCAUGAGAUGCAGGGCAAAGUUUUUUCGGUCUGGGAUCGGCCCGCGGCCUAUCAGCUUGUUGGUGGGGUAACGGCCUACCAAGGCAGUGACGGGUAGCUGGCGUGAGAGCGCGAUCAGCCACACUGGGACUGAGACACGGCCCAGACUCCUACGGGAGGCAGCAGUAGGGAAUAUUGCGCAAUGGGCGAAAGCCUGACGCAGCGACGCCGCGUGAGGGAUGAAGGCCUUCGGGUUGUAAACCUCUUUCAGCAGGGACGAAGCGAAAGUGACGGUACCUGCAGAAGAAGCCCCGGCCAACUACGUGCCAGCAGCCGCGGUAAUACGUAGGGGGCAAGCGUUGUCCGGAUUUAUUGGGCGUAAAGAGCUCGUAGGCGGUCGUUCACGUCGGAUGUUAAAGCUCGGGGCUCAACCCUGAGAGGCCAUUCGAUACGGAACGACUAGAGGCAGGUAGGGGAGGGUGGAAUUCCUGGUGUAGCGGUGAAAUGCGCAGAUAUCAGGAGGAACACCGGUGGCGAAGGCGGCCCUCUGGGCCUGUCCUGACGCUGAGGAGCGAAAGCUGGGGGAGCGAACAGGAUUAGAUACCCUGGUAGUCC